UACGUAGGCACCAAGCGUUGUCCGGAUUUAUUGGGCGUAAAGAGCUCGUAGGCGGUUCGAUAAGUCGGGUGUGAAAACUUUGGGCUCAACCCAAAGCGUGCAUUCGAUACUGUUGUGACUAGAGUUCGGUAGGGGAGUGGGGAAUUCCUAGUGUAGCGGUGAAAUGCGCAGAUAUUAGGAGGAACACCGGUGGCGAAGGCGCCACUCUGGGCCGAAACUGACGCUGAGGAGCGAAAGCGUGGGUAGCAAACAGG
rnacentral:rRNA from 1 species